UAGAGAGAAUUCAGCGGGAAGCGACGAGGAGGCUAGAGGUGAUGAGGAAGAAGCUAAUGAAGAAUAAAGAGUGGUUGUGUGUUGCAACAUAUCUAGGAUUUGUUGUUCCUGCUUGAAAGCUCGACAUCGAGUGCAAGUUUGUAUGUUAGAUUUGAGGUUUUCAGACCCGGAUGUUCAGUUAACAGGUUCUCAAGCUCAGAGUUCGGAUACAGA